rnacentral:tRNA from 1 species
GGGGAUUUAGCUCAGUGGCAUAAGCACCUGCCUUGCAAGCAGAAAGUCGUGAGUUCGAUCCCCG